rnacentral:lncRNA from 1 species
UUUCUUUUGACUUUGAUUAUGUACUAUGUUCUUGAAUUGUUUAACAAGACAUACACUUUAACUUUUUCUCUCAUUUUUUUUUCUUUUCAUUUUGUUUUGUUACCUUACAUAUAUGCUAAUUUAUUUUGCUUAAUGAUUGCUUUAGAGUUGAGAAAGAGCAAAGGAUGGAGAAGUUUACCAGUGCAAGUGAAGAUGCUCAUAAACCUAGAAGGCUCUUGGAUGUUGUACUCUCAUGGCCCCUUGAGGAUGUUCUCAACGAAAAUCUUUUCAAAGACAAGGUUUAUUUUACACCCUUUUUAUCACUCAAUUUAAAAAGUGUUCAUAUGCUAGUAUGGUUUUUAUAAAAAUGCUAGAUCACUCCUACCUUGUUCUUACAUUUUUCGAAAAUUCGGUAUCCUAUCC